UACGUAUGGAGCAAGCGUUAUCCGGAUUUACUGGGUGUAAAGGGAGCGUAGACGGUAUGCCAAGUCUGAUGUGAAAGGUGUGGGCUCAACCCGCAAACUGCAUUGGAAACUGGUUCACUUGAGUGUCGGAGAGGUAAGUGGAAUUCCUAGUGUAGCGGUGAAAUGCGUAGAUAUUAGGAGGAACACCAGCGGCGAAGGCGGCUUACUGGACGAUAACUGACGUUGAGGCUCGAAAGUGCGGGUAUCGAAC
rnacentral:rRNA from 1 species